GAUGAAGAACGUAGCGAAACGCGAUAAGUAAUGUGAAUUGCAGAAUCCAGUGAAUCAUCGAAUCUUUGAACGCACAUUGCGCCCGCCAGCAUUCUGGCGGGCAUGCCUGUUCGAGCGUCAUUUCAACCCUCGACCUCCCCUUGGGGAGGUCGGCGUUGGGGACCGGCAGCACACCGCCGGCCCUGAAAUGGAGUGGCGGCCCGUCCGCGGCGACCUCUGCGCAGUAAUACAGCUCGCACCGGGACCCCGACGCGGCCACGCCGUAAAACACCCAACUUCUGAACGUUGACCUCGAAUCAGGUAGGACUACCCGCUGAACUUAAGGAUAUCAAUAAGCGGAGGA
rnacentral:misc_RNA from 1 species